UACAGUGUUUUCAGACUUUAGCCAUGUAUAUGUUUAGAAACAACUGAAAAAAGCACAAAAGUCAAGGCAUGUCAAAACUUCUCCAGGACCCCAAAACCCCCUUAGACCUCAGAGGGUUAAAUAAACCGACCAGGUCAUUAAAACUAGCAAUUGUAGAUGUUUAUGUAAAUGCUGUGUGUCUUUGAUGCGUUUUAAUCUUUAUACAGUCUAUGAUUUUAAUGGCCGUGCAUGUUGAUUCAAACACUGGAGAAGUCACCAUGGAAAUGGGCGGCACCACAGUAAUGGACAAGCUGCGAAUUAACUCUGUCUGUUGCUGUUCUUUUCUCUGCUUAGUUUCAGGUGAGUUUAGUAACCUAAAAUCACACAAAUAAUAUACAACUGUUCAGGACACAUUUCUUACUUGUAAUUGACACGCUUCUGUCGAAUAAUAUUAAAUACUAUUGAAAUAGUUUAGUGUCUUCGAAAAAGUCUGUUAGCAUAUUAACCAUCUUAAGAACUUCCAUCAUUUACAGGAGCGCGAAAAGGAAAUUAAGCGCGUUUUGAUCUUUCAUGGAGUGAAAAAAUAAUUCUACAACAACAGAGGCAAUGGAGGGGGAAGGUCCAACAGAGCUGCUGACAGAGAAGUAGGAAACACAGAUUCUUCCAUGCUGAUGGCCUGCACUCCUGUCAAAGAAAAUCUCAGGCUAAAAACCAUAUGACUAAUGUAAUCCCUAGAGUUUGGUGCCGAGAUUCUUCAGGACAAGGCCUUGAUGCCAUCAAGCCUUGGUACAUGAAGAUGGUGAGUUUCCUAAUAGCUGCCACUGUCCCAGAUCAAAAGACUGAACACAACAGGCUUCAAUCUGUAUUAACCUAUUUUGAUAGGUUUAAUGUUACAUUAUUAGCUCGGAAAAUACCCUCAUGUCAUUUUGAAUCAUCUUCAGAACACAAAUUAACAUGUUUUUGAUCAAAUCCGAUGGCUCAGAGAGGUUUGCCACCCAAACUCUCAAGAUCCAUAAAGGUACUAAAGACGUCCUUACAACAGUCAACGUGACAAGAGUGGUUCUACAGUAAUUUUAUGAAGCGACGUGAAAAUUUUUUACACUUAAAUCCAACAGUACCAAAACUGCACAAUUUCCAGAAUCCACAAAUAAUAUGUUGUUUACCACUCUUAACAAAGCUGAUUCAGUGCUGUGCUUAGAUCUUAAACCAGACUGAAAAGGAUCCAAUAUAUUAUUUUAAAUAAAGUAAUGUGAUAACUGAUUUAAAACAGCUUUCUCCAAUACUUUUGAUGAUAAUGACAAUUUUGAAAUAGGUCUAUAGUUGUUAAAAUCAGCAGGAUCCAGAUUUGCUUUCUUUAGCAGCAGAUGAACCACUGCAUGUUUAAAACAGGAUGGAACUGAACCUGUCUCAAAGAUUUUGUUUAUGAAGAAACACCAAAACUUCUCACACAACUCUCGGCUAUUACCAACACCAAUCCCGAAGGAGAAGCUUUGGACAAUGGGAAUUUUGAGAAAUCAGAUUUGAAAAAUAUUAAGACCUUUACAAGGCAACUGCAUCUUGAAAUUUGACCAAAGAAUUUUGCAAUAACUGAUAAGAAACUUGUAAUUUGUCAUUUCUCCAUUUUCUUUCUGCCCUUCUAUGCUCCUCCUUCUACACAUCACUGACCGGCUUUCCUGUGUAACCGUAACCGUGAUUCAGGGUGUCCACCAUCAUAUUUAUCCAAAUGAGGUUCUCUGGGAUCCCCAGCUGAAGGCAUGAAGACAUCAGAUGUUGGCCUGGACAUAUGUACCAACAGCACACCACACUGCCCUCUGCUUUUGCAUGGAUGGCUGAUUACUACCAUGUUCUGUGAGGGUAUUAUUAUAGCAAAACUGAGCACCUGUGACAGUGGGAUUUGUAGUUUUAAAAAAAUAGUCACAUGAGUAUAUUUGAAGUUACAGAGAAAAAGCUUUUUUAGAAGUUGCAAACUUUUUUCUCUCACAAAAAACACAACAGUUACACCUUUUCAAAUUAUUUUCUGGUGGUGCCCAAAUCCUAUUCUACAAAUCUCAAAUUAAGAAAUUCAUAUGCUCACAAGUAAGCAGCGGACACGCUAGACUUUGAGCAUGCAAAUUUUCUUCGGACACUACGUCGUGAUAUGACAUCAUGCUCUGCAGUGUCUUUUUUAUAAACAUGAAUUCAACAUUUAACAAAUAGUAUAUUCAAAAUAUAAAAUGUACUUGACUUCACUACAUUUAACUUUUUUUUUUUUUUUUCUAAUUCAGCCAAGAUGUCACACCUUCAUGUAUCAAUUUUCUACUCUUUACACAUAGUCACGUGAUGCGAAUUCGCAGGUCCUCCCGCAUUUGUGUUCAUAUGAAUGAAAUGGAAUCAAAAGCGUAGUGUGACCGCAUCUUUAUUCUGCAGUUGCUGCACAUCUGUAUCAAAAGUGUGAAGUCAUGGACACAUUUCAUUUGUGGACUGAUAUGCGAGAUCUCACAUAGAACAUCAGUAUGUGACAUCCCACUCACACGUGCUAAAAAAAUGAAAAAAUUUACUAAUUUCUAGACUUUCAUAAGGAAACAGCCAAGCGAACAAAACUACAUAAAUGUUAUAAUAAAUAAAUGAAAUGUGCAGUUUUUAGAUUAUAUUUUAAUUAAUAAAAAUUCUAGACUUUUUAUGUAGUGAAUAUAGUGUUUAUGUGCAAAUAUUGCUGUGCUUCUUGGCUUGGAUGUUUAGCUGUGUCUUUGUUUACUGCUUGUUAUAUCAGCUUGCUAAACGCCAAGAGCUCCAUCAAGCCACUCCCAUAAUAGCUGUCAUCUUUCAAAUUAAUGCAUGAUUCUACAUUAUCGUUAUAGCAUGUGUGAAAGACUCAAAAAAAUUACUUCGUAAUUGGGUUAAUGAUGAAUACAUUUUUCAGUGAGUAAUCAGACUAUAAAUGUAUUAUUUUCAAUUUAAUUUUGUAAUUAUUACAAGAGUACCCUGGUGAACCAGGGACAAUAAUUUUAGAUAAUAAAGUAACUGUGAUUGGGACAGAUGCGAUCUAAUCCUGUUUACAUGAAAAAAGCCUGCUCCUGAGCAGGUUUAAAUUUACAGACCUGUUACUAUGACAGCAACUCCGAGAUGAGCUUCAAAGAACCAAACAAUCCAAGAUCAUGCCAAACUUUCAACAGUAAAAUCCAGCUAACUGAGUUACCGACAUACAAAUAACGGCCCCCAGGAGACUCUGGUGUAUAUUCAGCAGGAUUCUAUAAUGAUAAUGUGCUGUGUGACACCGUUAGAAUUGGGGUUCUCAAUUCUGGACUUGGAGUCAGACUCAAAACCUGGAUACCCUGCUGAAAAAACAGCAUAUGCUGGUUACGUAU